GACGAACGCUGGCGGCGUGCCUAAUACAUGCAGGUAGAACGCACAGUUUAUACCGUAGCUUGCUACACCAUAGACUGUGAGUUGCGAACGGGUGAGUAACGCGUAGGUAACCUGCCUGGUAGCGGGGGAUAACUAUUGGAAACGAUAGCUAAUACCGCAUAAUAUUAAUUAUUGCAUGAUAAUUAAUUGAAAGGUGCAAUUGCACCACUACCAGAUGGACCUGCGUUGUAUUAGCUAGUAGGUGAGGUAACGGCUCACCUAGGCGACGAUACAUAGCCGACCUGAGAGGGUGAUCGGCCACACUGGGACUGAGACACGGCCCAGACUCCUACGGGAGGCAGCAGUAGGGAAUCUUCGGCAAUGGACGAAAGUCUGAACGAGCAACGCCGCGUGAGUGAAGAAGGUUUUCGGAUCGUAAAGCUCUGUUGUAAGAGAAGAACGGGUGUGAGAGUGGAAAGUUCACACUGUGACGGUAGCUUACCAGAAAGGGACGGCUAACUACGUG
rnacentral:rRNA from 1 species